GUCCUUUGAGUUUCCAACUCCAUUUAGUGUCUUUCCUUCUUUCAUUUUUCUAUUUUUGCUCUCGAAAGGAAAGGAGCUUUAGUACCCUUUAUUUACUUUUCGUGUGGCUUUUGCGAGGUCGUCAGUUGCCAGGAAUUUAGCCUGCCCAGGUACUUUAGCCUGCCCAGGUACUUUCUUCUAUCAUCACUUUUUUGCUCACUUUUCUUUACCCCUAUCCAUUUACCAGUAUGAGCUCGGAUGAAUCUAGGUUACAUUCUUAGGAGAUCAAGUAAGAAGAGUCCAUCCCAGUAGUUCUCCUCCUGUAGAAAAUGAAACUGAACUUAUACUAAUUAGAAGUCUUACGGAUAAAAGUGAGGUAUCUAGUUAGGAAGAGAGAGGUAAGCCCAUCCUCAGAAGGAAAUUGGGAAUCCUCAAAAAUUAGGUUAAUUGUAACUUAGGAGAGAAUAGAAUCCUAGAACGGUAAAUAUAGCAUACUAAACUCAAUUGAAAUGAUAUUUCCCACCCCUUAAACCGAGCUAAUGAGCCUUCGAUCGAGUAUGUCGCGCUUAACUCAGCUAUACUAAACCCCUGACUCAGGUUACCAUUUUCCAAAGUCAUCCGUAAGUUCCUAUUGUCUUGGGGAAUAGCUCCAACAUAACUUUGUCCCAAUGGGUAGAGAAAUUUGCUUGUUGCCAUGCUGUUGUGGCAUAGGUUAAGCUUUUCUGAAUUAAUUAUAGACCAAUUUAAUUCAUUGUACCUUUUAUGGGAGAUAUGAUAGACUCAAGUUAGCACUAUGCCAGUGUAAAACCUAAGACUGGAGGUUCCUUAGUUUUAGAUACUCUAUCCUCUAUUAAGAAGUGGAAGUCUGAUUUCUUUUAUGUUAUUAAGAAGUGGCAGUUUCACUCAACUGAGAUGGAUAGAAAUAACGUCGUUCCUAUUUGUUGCCAUAAAUUGUGUAAGUGUGCCUCGAUUUAUCUUCCAAAAUUCUGAUGUGUUUUGACUUCUGACCACCUAUCUCUCUUCUAGCAAAUUAUGUUCCUCCUGAAAUAACCCUAUAAGUUAGGUGAAGAGAAAUAGUGAUUAGAGCUUUAACAAGGACGAAGAUUGUGUGGCUUCUUGAUAUCAGAUCCCAGCUACUUCCAAGCAGGAUUGUUUCUUCGUAAUUUCAUGCCUCAACCUUCAAGUAAGUUAUGGAAGUCUUUACCUUAGCCUUAUUAUGGUAUUUUCUUAUCCUUUAAAUAACUUUUUUAUAUUCAAAUUCGCCUGAUAAAUAUGUUAUUCUUUUGUAGGUCAAACCCCAAUAAUAUUGGGAUACAAAGCUUCUUAGGCAUCUAAGAAAUGUACAAUGAUAGAGCUCAAAAAGUCUCAAAAAAAGGUGAGAUCUCAUCGAAGGGAAGUAAGACACCUCUUUGGCUAAGAAAACCAAAUCCACUAUUUUAGCCAAGGUAUUUCGGCCUCUGACUGCUAUUCCUUACCUAUCUUCUCCCAUUGGUUCCCCUAUUAAAGAAGCUAUUACUACUGUCGCUUCAACACCUGCGACCUCAGGCAUUUCUUGUUCACAUUUUCCUUUCCCCAAUCUCCAGUACCCCGAUAUUGAAGCUAUGGUUGGAACUCACCCAGAGAUACUCCUAGAUUUCUUCAAGCACCAUCACUUUCCAAAGAUAUGAUCUCAUCUUUCCCUUUUACUAUUAGAGACUCAGCUAACCUACUAACAAGAAGCUGUAAUGAAAGAAAACAAAGGUUUUUGGAAGAGAUGUCUAUAGAUGAGGUAUGUAUUACUGCAAAGCUAUACAGUGAUCAUUCUGUUUUAUAUAUGAUGAAUGUGGCCAUGAAGAUGUGUUCCUCUUUUUCUUUUUUCUUUUUGAACUCUCUAUUGAAUAAUCAAAAUUGACUUGUUCAUAGGUCAAUGCUAAGAUUGAAAAAGUGGUUGCUUUGAGGAAUGAGGCCUUAGCUACUUUCUAGGUUGUUAAGGCUGACAAAGUCCAAAAGACAAAGGAGAAGAAAGAACAUGAGCAUAGACUUUGCACCUUGGAGGCCGAACUAAAGGCUAAGGUCGUUGUUAGGUCUAAGCUUGAGAAAGAGUUGGCAGCAACUAAGUUACAGAGUGAGGAGGCCAACAUUUGAGCUUACAAUGAAAAAUUGAAGGAUGAAGAGGAAUGAAAAAAUAUCAAUGAGGCAGAUGCUAGGACAAUCAAAGCCAUAGAGCUCUAGAAAGAGUUUCCAAAGUUCAACGCAUUGGCUCAGAAUGCUCACAUCGUCAGCUUGGUCGAGGUGAUAAUGCACAUUGAAAAAAUACGACUGUGUUUGCACUUCAUCAAAAGACAAAUAGUAGUCUUCAUGCCUUUUUGAUGUUUAUCUGUAAUACCUCUUUUAGUUAGGUUGAUCGAGAUAGGUCUUUUUAAUCUGGCCUCUCAAGCAUGGUCGACGUUCCUUUCUUAGAACAUAUUUACCCUUGACCUAGGUUGAUCAAAAUUGCAUGAUCUUACCUCAGCAUGGUCCUUCCGUACGACGCCCACUCCACCUGGGGUAAGAAAAUUCAUACAAUAAUGGUAAAUUGAAUUGGCUAUCUUUAAUUCAUGCAAUAUAAGCUUUCCAAGAUUGCAUUAUAACAAGACGAUAAGUCGACUACUACAAAAUCAGCAAUGGUCCUCCUCUUGUAGGGUACAUCUCCUAGUUCAACAGUUAGGACAAUCUGACCUCACAUUUCAAUGGGAUCUCUCGUAAAGACUUUCAAUUUAUAGAAGUGGGAUGUAAAUACCUUUCUGGAAUUCCCAUUUGUUCCAAAGUUUUAAAAUAUAAGAUAUUAACAAAAGUCUUAUAAUCUGCAAGAGUUAGAUAUAUGUUAAUUCUG
rnacentral:lncRNA from 1 species